rnacentral:rRNA from 1 species
UCAACUUGAGAGUUUGAUCCUGGCUCAGGACGAACGCUGGCGGCAGGCUUAACACAUGCAAGUCGAGCGCCCCGCAAGGGGAGCGGCAGACGGGUGAGUAACGCGUGGGAACGUGCCUUUCGGUUCGGAACAACUGAGGGAAACUUCAGCUAAAACCGGAUACGCCCUUCGGGGGAAAGUUUACGCCGAAAGAUCGGCCCGCGUCAGAUUAGGUAGUUGGUGGGGUAAAGGCCUACCAAGCCUACGAUCUGUAGCUGUUCUGAGAGGAAGAUCAGCCACACUGGGACUGAGA